rnacentral:rRNA from 1 species
CCUACGGGUGGCUGCAGUGGGGAAUAUUGGACAAUGGGGGCAACCCUGAUCCAGCCAUGCCGCGUGUGUGAAGAAGGCCCUCGGGUUGUAAAGCACUUUCAGUGAGGAAGAACGCCUGGUGGUUAAUACCCAUCAGGAAAGACAUCACUCACAGAAGAAGCACCGGCUAACUCCGUGCCAGCAGCCGCGGUAAUACGGAGGUUGCGAGCGUUAAUCGGAAUUACUGGGCGUAAAGCGCGCGUAGGUGGCUUGAUAAGCCGGUUGUGAAAGCCCCGGGCUCAACCUGGGAACGGCAUCCGGAACUGUCAAGCUAGAGUGCAGGAGAGGAAGGUAGAAUUCCCGGUGUAGCGGUGAAAUGCGUAGAGAUCGGGAGGAAUACCAGUGGCGAAGGCGGCCUUCUGGACUGACACUGACACUGAGGUGCGAAAGCGUGGGUAGCAAACAGGAUUAGAUACCCUUGUAGUC